UGGCUUACACGGUAAAGCAUCUGCCUGCAAUGCGGGAGACCUGGGUUCGAUUCCUGG
rnacentral:tRNA from 1 species